rnacentral:tRNA from 1 species
AAAAAUCCCCAAAAACA